rnacentral:rRNA from 1 species
CGGCGGACGGGUGAGUAACGCGUGGGUAACCUACCCUGUACACACGGAUAACAUACCGAAAGGUAUGCUAAUACGGGAUAAUAUAUUUGAGAGGCAUCUCUUGAAUACCAAAGGUGAGCCAGUACAGGAUGGACCCGCGUCUGAUUAGCUAGUUGGUAAGGUAACGGCUUACCAAGGCGACGAUCAGUAGCUGACCUGAGAGGGUGAUCGGCCACAUUGGAACUGAGACACGGUCCAA